AUUGAACGCUGGCGGCAGGCCUAACACAUGCAAGUCGAACGAGUGGCGGACGGGUGAGUAAUGUCUGGGAAACUGCCUGAUGGAGGGGGAUAACUACUGGAAACGGUAGCUAAUACCGCAUACCAUCGGAUGUGCCCAGAUGGGAUUAGCUAGUCGGUGGGGUAAAGGCUCACCUAGGCGAGGAUCCCUAGCUGGUCUGAGAGGAUGACCAGCCACACUGUAACUGAGACACUGUCCAGACUCCUACGGGAGUCAGCAGUGGGGAAUAUUGCACAAUUGGCCGAAGCCUGAUGCAUCCAUUCCGCGUGUAUGAAGAAGGCCUUCUGGUUGUAAAGUACUUUCAGCGGGGAGGCGUUACCCGCAGAAGAAGCCCCGGCUAACUCCGUGCCAGCAGCCGCGUUAAUUC
rnacentral:rRNA from 1 species